CACUUCCACGAAAUCGUCCGCAGACACUUCGGGGGGUACGGCAGCCGGGAAGAGGGACGACAACUCACGAAACGCGUUGUCUAUGCGCUCGUUGUCACAGGAGUGCGCACACGACAGGCUCCUGACGUUCGCUGUUCUGCCGCCUUUGCCUUGAUAUCUGCCUUGUUCUUCAACAAGGUGCUCAGCGUGCUCCGUGGUAUCCCGAUGUCGUCCGCCACCGCCGAACUUUUUUCGCCUGCCACAACACGCUGUAUGGCUUUCAACUUCGUCGCAAUGUCAAGGUUCUUGCGCUUCUUGACGCUAGCCAUUGCUACACGAGAAGUUGAAAAUUCAAGCAGUCCACUGCGCCUUUGCCCAGCACGCACAGCACGCACGCAAAAGAGGAAUGCGGUGGUAUGCGACAACUCACGGAAGUGGACUCCGCCAACAAAGCGCUCGCGAUCAGUCGCGAUGGC
rnacentral:lncRNA from 1 species